rnacentral:rRNA from 1 species
AUGGCAAAAGCUUGCAUACUCCGCGGUGUGGUGCUGGUCGUGUGCGCGCUCCUGCUUCUCUCCUCCCAUUUCCUGGCGGCUGAGCCGGCUGGCCGGCAAUGGGAUCACGGGAGAGGCGCCACGGUGGCUGCGACGACCAUGGCGAGAGGCCGUUUUGCGAGGAAGGUGUUGCGGGAGGAGAUGGUCCAGGCGGACGGCGACGUUGACAUUGCCGGCUCUAAGAGGAAGAGCCCCGGUGGCCCCGAUCCGCAGCAUCAUUAA